AGCGAACGCUGGCGGCAGGCCUAACACAUGCAAGUCGAACGAAGUCUUCGGACUUAGUGGCGGACGGGUGAGUAACACGUGGGAACGUGCCUUUAGGUUCGGAAUAACUCAGGGAAACUUGUGCUAAUACCGAAUGUGCCCUUCGGGGGAAAGAUUUAUCGCCUUGAGAGCGGCCCGCGCCUGAUUAGCUAGUUGGUGAGGUAAUGGCUCACCAAGGCGACGAUCAGUAGCUGGUCUGAGAGGAUGACCAGCCACAUUGGGACUGAGACACGGCCCAAACUCCUACGGGAGGCAGCAGUGGGAAAUCUUGCGCAAUGGGCGAAAGCCUGACGCAGCCAUGCCGCGUGGAUGAUGAAGGUCUUAAGAUUGUAAAAUCCUUUCACCGGUGAAGAUAAUGACUGUAGCCGGAGAAGAAGCCCCGGCUAACUUCGUGCCAGCCGCCGCCGUAAUAC
rnacentral:rRNA from 1 species